GAGUCUGGCUUUAGGGGUUUAGCUGGAUCGGAGGAGGGCGUGUGAGGCGACGGCGGCGGGUGGGAGGCGCCGACGGCUGGCGGGAGGCGGUGUGGGGUCACGGUCGAAGGAAGGGCUGGUGCGGCGGUUGAUGGCAGGCGGUGUGGGUGACGGUGAGGGAGGGCCUGGUAAGGCGGCUCGCGGGAGGCGGCGGGGCUGGUGGUAACCGGCCUGGAGGUCGUUGCGGGUUCAUCGGUUCGGAGGAGGUGCGCGAGAGGCGGUCCGAGCUCAACGAGUUCGCAAAGUCGCCUUCCUAGACAAGCCCACUACUACUGGUGUUCCUACCGAAGAUUGAAGGUGGUCUAAAGCGUACUGGUGCUCCAUUAGGUCAAUCCAAACCAAACCUAAACCGACAGAAUGAGCCACAGCGGCGGCGGCUCGACGCAGGGCUACGGCUGCAGCGACGACGACCUGCGGUCGCGGCCCGCCUUCUUCUACGGCUGGGGCACGCGGCACGUCCACCGACCGCCCCCCGCACCUCCAGCCGCGGUGGUUUUGUUCAACCAGGAGAGCUAGAUCGUCUCGUAUCGUCUAGGGACUGCUCGACCAGGAGAAGCGGAACCAGACAAGAAGUAGGAUCUGGCUCGCCUCAUACGAAGUAGGACGUC
rnacentral:rRNA from 1 species